rnacentral:misc_RNA from 1 species
UCUCCGUAGGUGAACCUGCGGAGGGAUCAUUCACAUGAUUUACUUUAUGAACAAACUGUGAACUUUAUUAUAUACUAUUCUUGUAAGGAUUAUUCUAUAAUCUUUUACAACGUCAUUCGAUGAACAUUAGAUAGUUGGCUUUUUUUUUUUUAAAUAAAAAACUUUCUCAGAUGAUUUGUUUGUUAGACAAAACAUCUAUUAAAUCAAUCAACCAAAAACAUAGAAACAACUCUAUGCCCUGGAUAUCUUGGUUCUC